GAUGAAGAACGUAGCGAAAUGCGAUAAGUAAUGUGAAUUGCAGAAUUCAGUGAAUCAUCGAAUCUUUGAACGCACAUUGCGCCCGCUAGUAUUCUGGCGGGCAUGCCUGUCCGAGCGUCAUUUCAACCCUCAAGCCCCCGGGCUUGGUGUUGGGGAUCGGCGAGCCUCCGCGCCCGCCGUCCCCUAAAUCAAGUGGCGGUCUCGCUGUAGCUUCCUCUGCGUAGUAGCACACCUCGCACUGGGAAACAGCGCGGCCACGCCGUUAAACCCCCAACUUCUGAACGUUUGACCUCGGAUCAGGUAGGAAUACCCGCUGAACUUAAGCAUAUCAAUAAGCGGAGGA
rnacentral:misc_RNA from 1 species